CGGGUGGUAAUGCCGGAUGCUCCGGUUGGAUGCAUGUCCUUCCGGGAAAGAUCCGUCGGUAUGGGAUGGGGUCGCGUCCUAUCAGCUUGAUGGCGGGGUAACGGCCCACCAUGGCUUCGACGGGUAGCCGGCCUGAGAGGGCGACCGGCCACAUUGGGACUGAGAUACGGCCCAGACUCCUACGGGAGGCAGCAGUGGGGAAUAUUGCACAAUGGGCGCAAGCCUGAUGCAGCGACGCCGCGUGCGGGAUGGAGGCCUUCGGGUUGUAAACCGCUUUUGAUCGGGAGCAAGCCCUUCGGGGUGAGUGCACCUUUCGAAUAAGCACCGGCUAACUACGUGCCAGCAGCCGCGGUAAUACGUAGGGUGCAAGCGUUAUCCGGAAUUAUUGGGCGUAAAGGGCUCGUAGGCGGUUCGUCGCGUCCGGUGUGAAAGCCCAUCGCUUAACGGUGGGUCUGCGCCGGGUACGGGCGGGCUGGAGUGCGGUAGGGGAGACUGGAAUUCCCGGUGUAACGGUGGAAUGUGUAGAUAUCGGA
rnacentral:rRNA from 1 species